AUUGAACGCUGGCGGCAGGCUUAACACAUGCAAGUCGAGCGGGGUGAUGGUGCUUGCACUAUCACUUAGCGACGGACGGGUGAGUAAUGCUUAGGAAUCUGCCUAUUAGUGGGGGACAACAUCUCGAAAGGGAUGCUAAUACCGCAUACGUCCUACGAGAGAAAGCAGGGGAUCACUUGUGACCUUGCGCUAAUAGACGAGCCUAAGUCGGAUUAGCUCGUUGGUGGGGUAAAGGCCUACCAAGGCGACGAUCUGUAGCGGGUCUGAGAGGAUGAUCCGCCACACUGGGACUGAGACACGGCCCAGACUCCUACGGCAGGCAGCAGUGGGGAAUAUUGGACAAUGGGGGGAACCCUGAUCCAGCCAUGCCGCGUGUGUGAAGAAGGCCUUAUGGUUGUAAAGCACUUUAAGCGAGGAGGAGGCUCUUUUGGUUAAUACCCAAGAUGAGUGGACGUUACUCGCAGAAUAAGCACCGGCUAACUCUGUGCCAGCCGCCGCAGUAA
rnacentral:rRNA from 1 species